rnacentral:rRNA from 1 species
ACGGAGGGUGCAAGCGUUAAUCGGAAUUACUGGGCGUAAAGCGUGCGUAGGUGGUUCGUUAAGUCCGUUGUGAAAGCCCCGAGCUCAACUUGGGAAUUGCAGUGGAUACUGGCGAGCUGGAGUGCGGUAGAGGAAGGUGGAAUUCCCGGUGUAGCGGUGAAAUGCGUAGAGAUCGGGAGGAACACCAGUGGCGAAGGCGGCCUUCUGGACCAGCACUGACACUCAAGCACGAAAGCGUGGGGAGCAAACAGGA